GCAAUGCCGCGUGUGUGAAGAAGGCCUUCGGGUUGUAAAGCACUUUUGUCCGGAAAGAAAACGUUCGAGCUAAUAUCUUGAGCGGAUGACGGUACCGGAAGAAUAAGCACCGGCUAACUACGUGCCAGCAGCCGCGGUAAUACGUAGGGUGCGAGCGUUAAUCGGAAUUACUGGGCGUAAAGCGUGCGCAGGCGGUCUGUUAAGACCGAUGUGAAAUCCCCGGGCUUAACCUGGGAACUGCAUUGGUGACUGGCAGGCUUUGAGUAUGGCAGAGGGGGGUAGAAUUCCACGUGUAGCAGUGAAAUGCGUAGAGAUGUGGAGGAAUACCGAUGGCGAAGGCAGCCCCCUGGGCCAAUACUGACGCUCAUGCACGAAAGCGUGGGGAGCAAACAGGAUUAGAUACCCUGGUAGUCCACGCCCUAAACGAUGUCAACUAGUUGUUGGGGAUUCAUUUCCUUAGUAACGUAGCUAACGCGUGAAGUUGACCGCCUGGGGAGUACGGUCGCAAGAUUAAAACUCA
rnacentral:rRNA from 1 species